UACGAAGGGGGCUAGCGUUGUUCGGAUUUACUGGGCGUAAAGCGCACGUAGGCGAUUGUUAAGUCAGGGGUGAAAUCCUGGAGCUCAACUCCAGAACUGCCUUUGAUACUGGCAAUCUCGAGUCCGGAAGAGGUAAGUGGAACUCCUAGUGUAGAGGUGGAAUUCGUAGAUAUUAGGAAGAACACCAGUGGCGAAGGCGGCUUACUGGUCCGGAACUGACGCUGAGGUGCGAAAGCGUGGGGAGCAAACAGG
rnacentral:rRNA from 1 species